GCUUCCGUGGUCCAAUGGUUAGGAUUCCACCCUUCCAUGUAUGCAAAUACAGAUGUGAGGUGGAGGUUCGUGUUCGAUUCACGGCGGUUGCA